UCCGGUGACAGAUUAUGCUUCUCAUUUGGA
rnacentral:piRNA from 1 species